AUUGAACGCUGGCGGCAUGCCUUACACAUGCAAGUCGAACGGCAGCACGGGAGCUUGCUCCUGGUGGCGAGUGGCGAACGGGUGAGUAAUACAUCGGAACGUACCCUGAAGUGGGGGAUAACGUAGCGAAAGUUACGCUAAUACCGCAUAUUCUGUGAGCAAGAAAGAGGGGGAUCGCAAGACCUCUUGCUUUAGGAGCGGCCGAUGUCGGAUUAGCUAGUUGGUGAGGUAAAGGCUCACCAAGGCGACGAUCCGUAGCGGGUCUGAGAGGAUGAUCCGCCACACUGGGACUGAGACACGGCCCAGGCUCCUACGGGAGGCAGCAGUGGGGAAUUUUGGACAAUGGGCGCAAGCCUGAUCCAGCCAUGCCGCGUGAGUGAAGAAGGCC
rnacentral:rRNA from 1 species